rnacentral:rRNA from 1 species
ACGAACGCUGGCGGUGUGCUUAACACAUGCACGUCGAACGGUAAGGCCCUUUCGGGGGUACACGAGUGGCGAACGGGUGAGUAACACGUGAGUAACCUGCCCUCAUCUCUGGGAUAACAGUCGGAAACGGUUGCUAAUACUGGAUAUGAGCUUGCAAGGCAUCUUGUGGGUUGGAAAGAUUUUUUUUGGUUGGGGAUGGACUCGCGGCCUAUCAGCUUGUUGGUGAGGUAGUGGCUCACCAAGGCUUCGACGGGUAGCCGGCCUGAGAGGGCGACCGGCCACAUUGGGACUGAGAUACGGCCCAAACUCCUACGGGAGGCAGCAGUGGGGAAUAUUGCACAAUGGACGGAAGUCUGAUGCAGCAACGCCGCGUGCGGGAUGACGGCCUUCGGGUUGUAAACCGCUUUCAAUUGUGACGAAGCUUUUUUGUGACGGUAGCAGUAGAAGAAGCACCGGCUAACUACGUG